rnacentral:rRNA from 1 species
GUAGUUGUAUAUUAAAUAUGAAAGUUCUUUUAUGAUUAUGUGAUAGGUGGUGCAUGGCCGUCCUUAAUUCGUGGAGUGAUUUGUCUGCUUAAUUGCGCAUUGCAAAUUGUAAUUGAUCUUUUACCAGUCUCGUUCCGAUUGAUGUUGUGAAUAUUGUAAAUAUUGUUGUCGUCGAGUCAUAAUUGCCACUACGUCUGGUCCUUCGGGCAGAAUAGUCCUUAUGCUUGUCUACACAAAAUUCUCCACAAUGUUGUAGCCAUACUUGAUUGUAUGCGCUAUUAAUGUCUAUGUGUGACACAUUCGUGGUUCAAGACCAGUUCGGCUGCUUGCACACAUUGCCAUCUCAACAUGAUUGGUCAGGCUGCUAAGACCUUGUGUCUUGCCCCAAAGGUUGAUUAACACCGU